rnacentral:rRNA from 1 species
UCGGGAAUUUUGGGCAAUGGGCGAAAGCCUGACCCAGCAACGCCGCGUGAGGGAUGAAGUAUUUCGGUAUGUAAACCUCGAAAGAAUGGGAAGAAUAAAUGACGGUACCAUUUAUAAGCUCCGGCUAACUACGUGCCAGCAGCCGCGGUAAUACGUAGGGAGCAAGCGUUGUUCGGAUUUACUGGGCGUAAAGGGCGCGUAGGCGGCGCGGUAAGUCACUUGUGAAAUCUCUGAGCUUAACUCAGAACGGCCAAGUGAUACUGCUGUGCUAGAGUGCGGAAGAGGCAACCGGAAUUCGUGGUGUAGCGGUGAAAUGCGUAGAUAUCAAGAGGAACACCUGAGGCGAAGGCGGGUUGCUGGGCCGACACUGACGCUGAUGCGCGAAAGCCAGGGGAGCAAACA